rnacentral:hammerhead_ribozyme from 1 species
AUCCAGCUGACGAGUCCCGAAUAGGACGAAGCAGGUGUCCCGGAU